UCCGGCUUAUCACCGGCAGUUUCUUUAGAGUGCUCAACUAAAUGGUAGCAACUAACGGCGAGGGUUGCGCUCGUUGCGGGACUUAACCCAACAUCUCACGACACGAGCUGACGACAGCCAUGCAGCACCUGUGUUACGGCUCCCUUUCGGGCACCCCUCCAUCUCUGGAGGGUUCCGUACAUGUCAAGGGUAGGUAAGGUUUUUCGCGUUGCAUCGAAUUAAUCCAUAUAAUCCACCGCUUGUGCGGGUCCCCGUCAAUUCCUUUGAGUUUUAGCCUUGCGGCCGUACUCCCCAGGCGGGGCACUUAAUGCGUUAGCUUCGGCACCGGAGGAGUCGACACCUCCGACACCUAAUGCCCAUCGUUUACGGCGUGGACUAC
rnacentral:misc_RNA from 1 species